UAGGGAAUCUUCGGCAAUGGGGGGAACCCUGACCGAGCAACGCCGCGUGAGUGAAGAAGGUUUUCGGAUCGUAAAGCUCUGUUGUUAAGGAAGAACGAGUGUGAGAAUGGAAAGUUCAUACUGUGACGGUACUUAACCAGAAAGGGACGGCUAACUACGUGCCAGCAGCCGCGGUAAUACGUAGGUCCCGAGCGUUGUCCGGAUUUAUUGGGCGUAAAGCGAGCGCAGGCGGUUAGAAAAGUCUGAAGUGAAAGGCAGUGGCUCAACCAUUGUAGGCUUUGGAAACUGUUUAACUUGAGUGCAGAAGGGGAGAGUGGAAUUCCAUGUGUAACGGUGAAAUGCGUAGAUAUAUGGAGGAACACCGGUGGCGAAAGCGGCUCUCUGGUCUGUAACUGACGCUGAGGCUCGAAAGCGUGGGGAGCGAACAGGAUUAGAUACCCUGGUAGUCCACGCCGUAAACGAUGAGUGCUAGGUGUUAGGUCCUUUCCGGGACUUAGUGCCGCAGCUAACGCAUUAAGCACUCCGCCUGGGGAGUACGACCGCAAGGUUG
rnacentral:rRNA from 1 species